ACAAUGAGAAAAGAAGGAAACCUCCACUCUUUACAAAAUCUUUUGAUGCCGGGGGGAGGAAUUAAAAAGAAACCCAACUGUCUUCCUGCAGUCUCUUGUGAAUUACUUUGGAGCUGACCUGAAUGACGAAUAAGUGACUAUCAGUACUGUGUGACUUUAACUUCAGACAACUGACAGAAGCAGGUGAAGAUACAGAAGCAGAUUCAGUUAACCAAAUGGAGAUGCCUCCUGCCACCCCAUAACAAUUUACAACAUUUGCAUGGGACUGUAAGCUAAUAUACUGGGCUUCAGAGAGAUCUUCAAUCUUCUGGACUGACAGUUGGAUUCCAGGAGAUGUCAAGUGAUGUCAAGAUGUCAGGUCAAAUGAUGUCUCAUACAAGUUACAUGGCUUCUAUUUUGUAUUACCAAGAAGACAAGUUGUGCUGCAACUGUUUAUGAGGUGCUUACUAUUACAUGUUUUCACAAAUUCAUAAGAUAAACCUAACAGCACUUGGAGUGGAAGAGCUUUAAUUCUUCAUUCAACACCUGGAAGGACUGGAAGAGUUAACAAAUCCCAUCGAUCAUGACUUAGACUAUGACUGAUUCACU